rnacentral:rRNA from 1 species
GUUAGGAAUAUUGGACAAUGGACGCAAGUCUGAUCCAGCCAUGCCGCGUGAGUGAUGAAGGCCUUCGGGUUGUAAAGCUCUUUAGCCGAUGAUUAUAAUGACUGUAGUCGGAAAAUAAGCCCCGGCUAACUUCGUGCCAGCAGCCGCGGUAAUACGAAGGGGGCGAGCGUUAUUCGGAAUCACUGGGCGUAAAGCGUGCGUAGGCGGUUUUGUAAGUUGGGAGUGAAAGCCCAGGGCUCAACCCUGGAAUUGCUCUCAAAACUACAAGACUUGAAUUCGGGAGAGGAUAGCGGAAUUGUCAGUGUAGCAGUGAAAUGCGUAGAUAUUGACAGGAACACCAGUGGCGUAAGCGGCUAUCUGGACCGACAUUGACGCUGAGGCACGAAAGCGUGGGGAUCAAACAGGAUUAGAAACCCUUGUAGUCC